UUCUGGGCCCAGAAAUAGGGUAGCAAGGGU
rnacentral:piRNA from 1 species